ensembl:lncRNA
ACUCUACCCUUAUGCUCUAAGCACCUCCAAAGGCUCCAUCUCCUAAUACCUCACAUCAAACAUUAGGAUUUCAACAUAGGAAUUUUUUUAGCGGAGGGACACAAACAUUUAGACCAUAGCAAUGCACACCCCUUCCCUCUCAUUGUUGGACCAAUCUUGCGUAGAUUCCACUCUAGUCACUUUCAGUUAUGCAAACAGUCUCAUUUAGGCAAUUAUAACUCAUUUUUGGGUUUUAGAAGAUUCAGCUCAGCUUAAUAUCAAAACAGCAAUCCCACGUCCAGGGGACCUACACUGUUGGAAGAGUCUCUCCCUCUUUUUCAAUUAGUUGAAGAGACGCGAGUCUUUUGCCACUGGUGCUGCUAUUGUUCUAUCCUGGCCACUCUCUUAGGCAGGUCCCAUGAAGACAGCUUGAGCAUGCUUACCUUCCGUUGCAUCUGUGAGUCGGUGGGAAGCACUUGCAUCCUCGCCACCCAGAAGUCUAGAUUGCUCCAGUUCAGCUCUCUCUUUACCUUCAUGGCAAAUGGCUGCACCUGGCCUCCUGCUUGCUAUAGUCACCAGCUGCAAAACAAAUAUAGAAAAGCAAGGCCUGAGGUCAUGCUAUGCAAACCAACCCCUGGGAUCCAUCUGGUCCAACAACCUCAGCUCAUUGAGAAAAGGUAUAGCUGGCCUGCAAAGAUUUCUUAGGAAACUGAACUGACAUUAAAGAGCCCUUGGUUUUAUUUUUAACUCUCCGGCUGUUGGAGUUUGGACAUGUUGGGUUUUCUAUCCUGGAGCAAACCUUUUGCGAUCCACAAGGUGAAAUCCGUCACGGGGUGUAAGGGACAACAACAUGUCACAAAGCGUCAAAACUCAGGGAAACUCACUUGCUGUAGAAGCUGAUCUGCAGAAUCCAUCGGACUGUUCGCCAGACUAAAAGAGCUGUGAUGUUUUGAUCCCUAGAGCUUUUUUGGGUAACCUUUCAUGUACUGUCACCAGUUACUUCCAGGUUUAAUGUGCUUUCAUCAAUGGGUUUUUGAAGCCAGCCUCCACUCCACUCUCACUUUAUUUAUAUAGUGUUGGAGGGUGGAAUUGACAUCCUCUUUCAGACGGAAAGUAAAUUGAGUUCUCUCUUUUAGCUAUGGAUUAUUGAGCAGGUUGCAAUAGAAUUGUAAUGCCGCUGGUGGUGACCUUUGUGUAGGAAUUUUUGUGUAUUUUGCAAAGCAAAAAUAAAUCCAAUGAAGCUUAAUCAUGGCCAAAAUCCAAACUGAGAAAACCUUUGAAAGGUAGAUUAAAAAGCCAUAGCAGCAUUCAUUUCAUAGAAAUUAAUGAAUUAUAAAAGUGAGAGAUAUUAAAUUUGAAUAGCCCAGCUCUCCCUCCACCCCCAGAUGUGCAAAAAAGGCAAGUUCUUGGUAGAAUGCCAUUAUUUUCACAAGGUAAAAAGCCAGGGAUAAUGUAACAGAAUAUUUCCUGGUUAAAAAAAUAAUAAGUUCCAUAUUGACCCAUUCGAUCGUUAGCUUCCAUCUCAGUUCACACUUCAAAAUGUUCUCUCAAAUGGUUAUGCAUUGGACACAUGGGAAGAAAAUCUGAGGUGAUAGCCUAAGCUUUUAGAGUAAACCAAACCCAUUGAGUGGCAAGUUAAUGUACAAUAGCGUCCAUAAGGCAUGUUAACUGGC